ACUGGUAUGAUCUCAUCAUGAUCCUAAAAUCAUUAUCCUAAUCUAUGAAAUUUAUCAUAAUCAUAAAAAUAUGAUGCAGCAAAUGAUAAAACACAGUUCCUCAUGAAUAAAAUAACUAAUGUCAUGAAAAUGAGUAAGAAGAUAUCAUAAAAAAGUUCCUUCGCAUCACUCAUGCGAUUGGAUUGUAGGGUACUAUUCUUUCAAUCUUCUACUUGCACUAAAGCCAAAUCACCCCUACACCUGAUGCCUGUGCAAUUAGGGUGGCGAACACACUGCUAC
rnacentral:lncRNA from 1 species